AACGAACGCUGGCGGCGUGCCUAACACAUGCAAGUCGAACGUUAUUGGAAGCUUGCUUCCAUGAAAGUGGCGCACGGGUGAGUAACGCGUAGAUAAUCUGCCUGAUGAUCGGGGAUAACACUUCGAAAGGGGUGCUAAUACCGGAUAAGCCCACGGAGUCUUCGGACUCUGCGGGAAAAGGGGGGGACCUUAGGGCCUUCUGUCAUCAGAUGAGUCUGCGUACCAUUAGCUAGUUGGUAGGGUAAAGGCCUACCAAGGCGACGAUGGUUAGCUGGGCUGAGAGGAUGAUCAGCCACACUGGAACUGAGACCCGGUCCAGACUCCUACGGGAGGCAGCAGUGGGGAAUUUUGGGCAAUGGGGGGAACCCUGACGCAGCAACGCCGCGUGAGUGAUGAAGGCCCUUGGGUCGUAAGGCUCUGACAGAGGGAAAGAAAUGCAGGGGAGCUAAUAUCUCUUUUGCUUGACGGUACCCUCAAAGGAAGCACCGGCUAACUCCGUGCCAGCAGCCGCCGUAAUAC
rnacentral:rRNA from 1 species